rnacentral:rRNA from 1 species
AGUGAACGCUGGCGGCAGGCCUAACACAUGCAAGUCGAGCGGCAGCAGAGUACUUGCUUCCGGUUUCAGCGGCGGACUGGCGGGUAAUUCAUAAGAACAUGCCUAGCUGUGGGUUCUUACGUGAGAACGCGGGGACUCAUACGGCAAUAGUGCAGACGGCGUACGGGGGGGAGCAUCGGAUCUCAGGACCUCACGUGAUCCUAUGUCGGAUUAGCUAGUUGGCGGGGUAAAGGCCUACCAAGGCGACGAUCCGUCACUGGUCUGAGAGGAUGAUCAGCCACACUGGAACUGAGACACGGUCCAGACUCCUACGGGAGGCAGCAGUGGGGAAUAUUGGACAAUGGGCGAAAGCCUGAUCCAGCCAUGCCGCGUGGGUGAAGAAGGCCUUCGGAUUGUAAAGCACUUUUAUUGGGGAAGAAGAGCAGUAAGUUAAUACCCUGCUGUUUUGACGUUACCAACAGAAUAAGCACCGGCUAACUUCGUG